rnacentral:rRNA from 1 species
UACAGAGGGGGCAAGCGUUGUUCGGAAUUACUGGGCGUAAAGGGCGCGUAGGCGGCCUGCUAAGUCGAUCGUGAAAUCCCCGGGCUUAACCCGGGAACUGCGACCGAUACUGGUUGGCUUGAAUUCGGGAGAGGGAUGCGGAAUUCCAGGUGUAGCGGUGAAAUGCGUAGAUAUCUGGAGGAACACCGGUGGCGAAGGCGGCAUCCUGGACCGGCAUUGACGCUGAGGCGCGAAAGCCAGGGGAGCGAACGGG